GUAAGGAAUAUUGGUCAAUGGACGCAAGUCUGAACCAGCCAUGCCGCGUGCAGGAUGACUGCCCUAUGGGUUGUAAACUGCUUUUGUUAGGGAAUAAACCCAUCUACGUGUAGAUGGCUGAAUGUACCUAAAGAAUAAGGAUCGGCUAACUCCGUGCCAGCAGCCGCGGUAAUACGGAGGAUCCGAGCGUUAUCCGGAUUUAUUGGGUUUAAAGGGUGCGUAGGCGGCACUUUAAGUCAGGGGUGAAAGACGGCAGCUUAACUGUCGCAGUGCCUUUGAUACUGAAGUGCUUGAAUGCGGUUGAAGACGGCGGAAUGAGACAAGUAGCGGUGAAAUGCAUAGAUAUGUCUCAGAACACCGAUUGCGAAGGCAGCUGUCUAAGCCGUUAUUGACGCUGAUGCACGAAAGCGUGGGGAUCGAACAGG
rnacentral:rRNA from 1 species